AAUUUUAAAUUAUUAAUUUUUUUUUUUAUUUUAUUUUUAAGUGUUUAAAUUAUUAAUUUUUUUUACUGAUAAGGAAAUUUAUUUAAGUUUGUUAAAAAAUUUUUAGUACCUUUGGUAUCAGGGUUAAUUCAAUUUUUAAUUUAAAUUAUUUUCCCGAAAUUAAAAUAUUUAAAUUAAUUUUAUUUUAAAUGUUUUAUAAUUUUUAUUAAUUUUAAUUUUAUAAUUAAAAGUUAUUUGUUUUUUUUUAUAUCUGGUUAAUUUGGAUUUAAAUUUAAUUUAGGAAUUAAUUUUUUUUUUAUUAAUAAUUUUUAUUUCUUAUAUUAUUUAGGAUAAUCUAAAUAAUUUUUUAAAAUUUUAUUUUUUUAAUUUUUAUUAUUUUUAAUAUCAUUUAUUUAGUUCUUUAUUGAUUUAAAUUUUUUUAUAUAAUUUUUUUUAAUUUAUUAUUUUACUAAUUUUUUUAAUUUAAUUUAUAAUUUAUAUUAAUAAUGAUUAAAUUAGUAUAAUUUUUAUUUAUUAUUUAUGAACUAGACAAAUUUUUAUUCUUAACUGUUUAUCAAAAACAUUUCUUUUAGUUUAUAUUAAAGGUAGUUUCUGCUCUAUGAAUAUUUUUAAAUGGCUGCGGUAUUUUGACUGUACAAAGGUAGCAUAAUAAUUUGUUUCUUAAUUAGGAACUUGUAUGAAUGAAUUAAUAAAGGAUUAAUUUUAUUAAUUUUAUUUUUAAAAUUUUAUUUUUUAGUAAAAAAGCUUAAUUUUUUUCUUGGGACGAGAAGACCCUAAAGAACUUUAUUUAUAAAUUUAAUUUAUUUAAUUUAAUUUUAUUAUUAAUGUUUUUAUAAUUUUUACUGGGGUGGUAAAUAAAAUUAUACUUUUUUUUUAUUAUUCAUUUAUUAAUGUUUAAUUGAUCCAAUAUUUUUUGAUUACAAGAAUAAGUUACCUUAGGGAUAACAGCGUAAUUUUUAUGGGGAGUUCAUAUCUAUAUAUAAUUUUGCGACCUCGAUGUUGAAUUAGGAAAAAUUUAUAAGGUAGUUUUUUUAAAAUUAAGUCUGUUCGACUUUUAAUUUCCUACAUGAUCUGAGUUCAAACCGGUGUGAGCCAGGUUGGUUUCUAUCUAAGAAAUAUUUUUUUCUUUUAGUACGAAAGGACCUUAGAAUACAAUUUUUAUUGUU
rnacentral:rRNA from 1 species